UACGUAGGUGGCGAGCGUUGUCCGGAUUUACUGGGCGUAAAGGGAGCGUAGGCGGACUUUUAAGUGAGAUGUGAAAUACUCGGGCUCAACUUGAGUGCUGCAUUUCAAACUGGAAGUCUAGAGUGCAGGAGAGGAGAGUGGAAUUCCUAGUGUAGCGGUGAAAUGCGUAGAUAUUAGGAGGAACACCAGUUGCGAAGGCGGCUCUCUGGACUGUAACUGACACUGAGGCACGAAAGCGUGGGGAGCAAACAGG
rnacentral:rRNA from 1 species